rnacentral:lncRNA from 1 species
CAAUUGUGUCGCCUUUUCUUUUCUGAUGGAGAUCAUUUUCUUUUUCCAAAUGGAAGCUCCCUCGCAUGCUGUGCGUGCUCCGUGCCUCCCCAACCUCGAGCAAGCAGCCAGCCAGGCAGGACUCGGGCAGAGCGGGGGCUGCUCUGGCCUCGCAGGUGCCCGCAGGGAGCCUCGGGCCGGGCAAGAGGCGGGAGACAGAGCUGGGCAGGCCCUCGGCCUCUGCCCAGCCCCUCUGGCCAGUGACUCACCUGGCACCACCCACCGCAGCGGCUGAUUCCGCUGGGGCCGGCAGCUCGCUCCCUUGCUUGCCCGAUUGCAUCGCCUCUGUCCCCAUGACAGCUCCUGCCCCGGGGAACCGAAAGACAGGCCCAGGGUGUGAAAUCAUAGCACAUUCAGGAACACUAGGGCACCCAGACUCCUACCCACUUACCUCCUGAGGCCUCAGUGGGGAGGGGCAGGCAGGGCUGUCCCCAAAGGCACGAAGGAGGUGAAGCCGCCAACUUCAGCCUGGAUACCAGGAAAGGAGGGGUCGCAGCCCGGGCGGGGUGCAGGGACCAGUCUGAAAUGCAGCUACCCCCAAAGCUGUAUCCUUAGUGAAGGACCAAGCCAGGCUUCAGGGUGGCUGUGAUCAGGACAGAGGGGAGGACAAGGUGGCCUCGGGAUCGGGCAGCCAGGUGCCCCCUUCCGUCUCUGCUAAAGCUCAUGCUAAGAGGCAGCAGACAAGAUGGCUGGGGUCUCACAGGAGCCUUUCCCCUCCAGAACCCCGAGGCCCCCUGACCACAGCCCCCCAGGUGCCCGCCAUGAUGACCCUCAGGUGGCAGUGACCCCCGUCACUGUAGAAGACAUUUUCUCCUGCUGAGCAGAAGCAUCACCCCCUGCAAACUACCUCUUCCCACAAUGUCUUUCUCCCCUGGUACCAAAAAGAACCCUGUACCUCCUCCCCAUCCUCCUCCUCUUUCCUGCCAGUGCAGUGGCCUUGGUCUUGGAAACCUAAGGGAGAAGGUCUGGCCCCCAGGGUGGGGCUCCCCCUUCCUCCCCCAGCCCUGCCAUCAGCACCGGCCUUCUGCGAGAUUCGAUACUUGAACGCCCCCCUGCCCUGUGCCUUGGACCCGGGCAAAGCUAAGAGAAGGAAGCAGCACAACUCACAGUUUGAGCUGGGGGGUGGUCUCGGCAAGGCUCCUGUCCUCACCCCUCCCCGACCUUUCAAGAGAGGCGUGCAGCCUCUUGGGUGACUUAGAAACUCCUGGACGAAUUCCAUUCU